rnacentral:tRNA from 1 species
CCCUCGGUAGCCAAGUUGGUUUAAGGCGCAAGACUGUAAAUCUUGAGAUCGGGCGUUCGACUCGCCCCCGAGGGA